AUUCCUGCUUGUGGCCCGCGCAGGGGCGGGGUCGGAAGGUCUAGGCCGGGCGCGGAGCGAGGAAGCGGGUGGCGCUGGGACGCAUGCUCUGGGGGAGAUGAGUAUAAUGACCCGCGUUUGUCCGCCGCCCGUGCCCCGCUCAAUCCCCGCAUCAAUCCCGUGAGGCCGUUUCUCCCGUUGGCUCCACUGUACCGGGGGCUGAGGCCCAGGGAGGUCUCGCGGCUCCCUAGGUUAUCCAGCUAGUAAGAGGCGAAGCUGGAAUUCUCACUGUGGGCCCAUUCCAUGGCUUUUGCCAGAGCGCCAGGGACACACUCAGUUCACCUUCUAGCAGGGAAGACCCAAAGAUGCGCGCCCCUGGCAGCCAGGGCGUCGGACCAGGCAAUUCCUACUGUCCAGCAUCACCUCCUCCAGGCCUCUCGGAUGCCUCUGUUGGGACAGCUAAGUUCCUCUUCAAAGACUCAAUUUCCUGGUCAUAAGCUGUAAACAGAUUCUACUCCCGCUUUUUCUUCUUUGUCGCACGUCUACCCUAUUUGGGAAAGUUUAAACCUUAGCCAAUCGGGAUCAGCUCAGAUUGUGCGGUCCAACCCCCCAGCCAAUGGGGAAAGGACACAGAAACAGGAACUGCGUUAGGGUUAAAAACCACUUCCCUCCUUUGUUGGCGGGUGCUCUUGGGAUUGCAACCAGCGCAAGCAGCACCCUUCUGCAGAAGUAAAGAUGCCUUGCUGGGAAGUCUUCUGUCUCAGUGCUGGUUUUUCUUGACUACACUGAGCACUUGUUUUCAACAAAUUUGAGGGUCUUCUGGGAUCCCAUUCUCCUUUGGGAGGGGUAGCGAUUACUUUUCCUCGUGAGACACGUCCCACUGCCUUGUUGCAGUGGCCCAAGGAGCGGAGGAUCGGGUCCACCCAAAGUGAGGAAUAAAUCCGGACUUUCAGCAACGUGGGCAGGAAGGAGCCUUAAAAUUCCCAGGCAAGUGGGUAACUCUGUGCACAGACCAAGGUAAGAAAAGUUGCUACUGGGGCGACAAAGUAUUUCCUUGGUGGUUGGGGUCACUUGGAGGUUGAAAGUGCAUGGCUGAGACAUGUCAGUGGACACGAAUCGAGUGUGGAGUCCAGACUUGGUUCCAUGGUCACCUCAUAAGGCUUAGGGCGGUUUUCCAGUCGGGGAUUAUACCGACCCGCUAAUGCUAAGAGGGGCCUGAAAUUCCCACGAGGGAAGCGGCCAAAAAGUACGAAGCGAUUAUUCAUAUGAGUGCAAGAAACCUCCAAUGGGAAAAGGGAGAGGUUAAGCCCCUAGGAAAUGGGCACCAACCUCCAGAAUGGGAAAUACCCCAAGUAAGACAGGGAGUACAAAAGGCCAAGCAGACAAUAAAAUUCCCCCUGACAGUCCUCUGGGCCUUAUGUUAGAGUACUGGAGGUAUAAUGAAAGAACCAUGUAACACAAGGAAAGACAGUGAAUGAUAAAAUAUUGCUGUUUUAUUUGGACCAAAGAACCUAUCCUCAGACCCUCAGUCUUUUGGCCAAAGUUUGGAUCAGACGAGGAUUGGAUAUGCCAACUCUUAAUCCAGUAUGUUAAUAAAAAAAGUCCAGUCUCUCAAGAGGAAAUAGAUUAUGCUCUGUGUUGGAGACAGGAACAUGUCCUUCCCUUUCCCUUAAAGGAUGACGUAAAAGAGAAACCAAACUCAGUACCCUCCUAGGACAACCCAGUUAAGUCAGAUUCUACAUCUAAAGAUGCCAAUGUAUAGGAUCCCCUAGACCAUCUUCCCCCGCCUACCCCACCUCAGGCUAAUCACUCAGUCCCUCCCCCACAUAACCCUGCCCUGUGGGCCUUGUGGCCCCACAUCCCCAUUGAGCAGCCACCCGAACAUGUCCUUUCCUCAGGAAAACUCCAGCACGAGAUGGAACAAUGCCGGAGGGAUAUUCAGAACUUUCCUUUUCCCUCUUCCUCAAAGGGGUCUGCCCCAACCCCUUUUCCCUUAAGUACCACUGGGAGGAGGGGGUAUUGGUUUCGUAAAUGCCCCCUUAACUAGUUCAGAGGUUAGAAAUCUGAAAAAGGAACUCAAACCAUUAUCAGAUGAUCCUUUUGGAGUCACAGAUCAAAUUGAACAAUUUUUAGGGCCGCAAUUGUAUACUUGGGCUGAAUUAAUGUCCAUCUUAGGUAUUCUCUUCUCAGGGGAGGAAAGAACCAUGAUCCGCAGGGCUGCUAUGAUAGUCUGGGAAUGUGAACACCCUCUUGGUCAAAACAUCCCUGCAGCAGAGCAGAAAUUCCCAGCCCAGGACCCUCAGUGGAAUAGGAACAAUGCAGCCCACUGAGAAAACAUGAAAGACCUCAGGGAUAUGAUAAUUAAAGGGAUUCAGGAAUUGGUGCCUCAAACCCAAAAUAUUUCUCGAGCAUUUAAUGUACAC
rnacentral:lncRNA from 1 species